rnacentral:rRNA from 1 species
AUUGAACGCUGGCGGCAUGCCUUACACAUGCAAGUCGAACGGCAGCACGGGAGCAAUCCUGGUGGCGAGUGGCGAACGGGUGAGUAAAGUAUCGGAACGUGCCCAGUCGUGGGGGAUAACGUAGCGAAAGUUACGCUAAUACCGCAUACGAUCUAUGGAUGAAAGCGGGGGAUCGCAAGACCUCGCGCGAUUGGAGCGGCCGAUAUCAGAUUAGGUAGUUGGUGGGGUAAAGGCUCACCAAGCCGACGAUCUGUAGCUGGUCUGAGAGGACGACCAGCCACACUGGGACUGAGACACGGCCCAGACUCCUACGGGAGGUAGCAGUGGGGAAUUUUGGACAGUGGGCGAAAGCCUGAUCCAGCCAUGCCGCGUGCAGGAUGAAGGCCUUCGGGUUGUAAACUGCUUUUGUACGGAACGAAAAGGUUUGGCCUAAUAAGCUGGGCUCAUGACGGUACCGUAAGAAUAAGCACCGGCUAACUACGUGCCAGCCGCCGCAGUA